UACGUAGGGUGCAAGCGUUUGUCCGGAAUUAUUGGGCGUAAAGAGCUCGUAGGCGGUUCGUCGCGUCGGCUGUGAAAACCUGAGGCUCAACCUCAGGCCUGCAGUCGAUACGGGCGGACUUGAGUACUGCAGGGGAGACUGGAAUUCCUGGUGUAGCGGUGAAAUGCGCAGAUAUCAGGAGGAACACCGGUGGCGAAGGCGGGUCUCUGGGCAGUAACUGACGCUGAGGAGCGAAAGCGUGGGGGAGCGAACAGG
rnacentral:rRNA from 1 species